GAUGAACGCUGGCGGCGUGCCUAAUACAUGCAAGUCGAGCGAACAGACGAGGAGCUUGCUCCUCUGACGUUAGCGGCGGACGGGUGAGUAACACGUGGAUAACCUACCUAUAAGACUGGGAUAACUUCGGGAAACCGGAGCUAAUACCGGAUAAUAUAUUGAACCGCAUGGUUCAAUAGUUAAAGACGGUUUUGCUGUCACUUAUAGAUGGAUCCGCGCCGCAUUAGCUAGUUGGUAAGGUAACGGCUUACCAAGGCGACGAUGCGUAGCCGACCUGAGAGGGUGAUCGGACACACAGGAACUGAGACACGGUCCAGACUACUACGGGAGGCAACAGUAGGGAAUAGUCCGAAAUGGGCGAAAGCCUGACGGAGAAACGACGCGUGAGUGAUGAAGGUCUUCGGAUCGUAAAACUCUGUUAUUAGGGAAGAAAAAAUGUGUAAGUAAAUAUGCACGACUUGACGGUACCUAAUCAGAAAGACACGGCUAACUACGUG
rnacentral:rRNA from 1 species